AGCAGGAACCACAAGCAGUAUUUCAAUGCACCUUCUCACAUUCAGAGCAAGAUCAUGUCUUCACCCCUUUCUAAAGAACUAAGGCAGAAGUAUAUUGGGUCUGUGCCCAUUCAAAAGGAUAAUGAAGUUUAGGUUGUUCAAGGACACACAAAGGGCAGCAGAUGACAAAGUGGUCCAAGUGUACAGGAAGAAAUAAGUCAUCUACAUUGGAGGCUAACAGCACAACUGUGCAUUUGGGCAUCCACCCCAGCAAGGUGGUGAUCACCAGGCUGAAGCUGGGCAAGGAGAUCCUAGAGAGGAAAGCCAAGUCCUGACAGGUAGGAAAGGAGAAGGACAAAUACAGGGAGGAAACGACCUAGGAGAUGAAG
rnacentral:lncRNA from 1 species